GGAGGGAUGCCCGAGCGGCCAAAGGGAGCAGACUGUAAAUCUGCCGGCUCCACGCCUACGGUGGUUCGAAUCCACCUCCCUCCA
rnacentral:tRNA from 1 species